AUGGCCGUCGACUUGGAGCAGGCGGCCUACCAUGCCAUCCCUGCCGACCCGCGCGACGACGAGGCGCCGCCAGUCCUGGGCAACGCGCCGGCGGCGAAGUCCAGCCACAUGGACGGACCCACCUUUCUAAUCUUGAUGCUACUUUCGGUUGGAGUGACAGCGCUCAUGUUAGGCCCCAUGUACUACAUGGAGGGCGCCAACGUGGCGUCCUUCUCCGUCGGUCUCGCCGGCUACGAGGGCAUCGACCCGGCCAGGCCCGGCCGCGUGGUCUCGCCGGCGUUCAACCUCACGCUGCGGAUGAACAAGACGUGCGCCGACCGCGCCGAGGUGGUCCUGACCUACUCCGGCGUCGCGCUCGGCUGGGCGCGCGUGGAGCCGCGCGGCUGCGUCUCCCGGGAGCCCUGGGGGAGGGUCGUGGAGGUGGUGGCCAGGGCCGACGGCGUGGGGAUCUCGGGGCCUCUCCGGGAGCGCAUGGCGUCGGAGUGGCGCCGCUCGGGGCGGGUGGAGCUCGACGUCGACGUGGCGGUAUACAGAGACGCCGGAGAACGACUGUGGUGGGGCUACUUCGGCGACAACACCCGCGACAAGGUGAUGCGCUGCAAGGUGACGGCGGAUGAUGGACCAACGUCGGAGUCGCCACCUUGCCCAUGGUAUUCUCUACGGCCUCACAGUUAUGAUAUGUUCAGCGACGACUCGUAG
rnacentral:rRNA from 1 species